AUUGAACGCUGGCGGCAUGCCUUACACAUGCAAGUCGAACGGUAACGCGGGGCAACCUGGCGACGAGUGGCGAACGGGUGAGUAACGCAUCGGAACGUGCCCAGUAGUGGGGGAUAGCCCGGCGAAAGCCGGAUUAAUACCGCAUACGACCUGAGGGUGAAAGCGGGGGACCGAAGGGCCUCGCGCUAUUGGAGCGGCCGAUGUCAGAUUAGGUAGUUGGUGGGGUAAAGGCCUACCAAGCCGACGAUCUGUAGCUGGUCUGAGAGGACGACCAGCCACACUGGGACUGAGACACGGCCCAGACUCCUACGGGAGGCAGCAGUGGGAAUUUUGGACAAUGGGCGCAAGCCUGAUCCAGCCAUGCCGCGUGCGGGAAGAAGGCCUUCGGGUUGUAAACCGCUUUUGUCGGGGAAGAAACGCUCUGGGCUAAUAUCCUGGGGUAAUGACGGUACCCGAAGAAUAAGCACCGGCUAACUACGUGCCAGCAGCCGCGGUAAUACGUAGGGUGCAAGCGUUAAUCGGAAUUACUGGGCGUAAAGCGUGCGCAGGCGGUUGUGCAAGACAGAUGUGAAAUCCCCGGGCUUAACCUGGGAACUGCAUUUGUGACUGCACGGCUAGAGUGCGGCAGAGGG
rnacentral:rRNA from 1 species